UUCUAACCGUAAACUAUGCCAACUAGCGAUCCGUCGGUGUUAAAUAUUGACUCGACGGGCAGCUUCCGGGAAACCAAAGUUUAUAGGUUCCGGGGGAAGUAUGGUUGCAAAGCUUAAACUUAAAGGAAUUGACGGAAGGGCACCACCAGGAGUGGAGCCUGCGGCUUAAUUUGACUCAACACGGGGAAACUCACCCGGCCAGGACACAAUAAGGAUUGACAGAUUGAUAGCUCUUUCUUGAUUUUGUGGGUGGUGGUGCAUGGCCGUUCUUAGUUGGUGGAGCGAUUUGUCUGGUUAAUUCCGAUAACGAACGAGACUCUAGCCUAUUAAAUAGACGAUAUAUCUUAUUAGUAUAUCGAGCUUCUUAGAGGGACGAGCAGCUUCUAGCUGCACGAGAUUGAGCAAUAACAGGUCUGUGAUGCCCUUAGAUGUCCGGGGCUGCACGCGCGCUACAAUGAAAAUAGCAGCGCGUUUCGAAAACCUUUUCUGGAAAGUAUUGGUAAACGCGAAAUAUUUUCGUGAUUGGGAUAGGGGAUUGCAAUUAUUGCCCUUGAACGAGGAAUUCCCAGUAAAUUCGAGUCAUCAGCUCGAGUUG
rnacentral:rRNA from 1 species